rnacentral:rRNA from 1 species
GGAUGGGCCCGCGGCGCAUUAGCUAGUUGGUGGGGUAAAGGCUUACCAAGGCAAUGAUGCGUAGCCGAACUGAGAGGUUGAUCGGCCACAUUGGGACUGAGACACGGCCCAAACUCCUACGGGAGGCAGCAGUAGGGAAUCUUCCACAAUGGGCGAAAGCCUGAUGGAGCAACGCCGCGUGGGUGAAGAAGGUCUUCGGAUCGUAAAACCCUGUUGUUAGAGAAGAAAGUGCGUGAGAGUAACUGUUCACGUUUCGACGGUAUCUAACCAGAAAGCCACGGCUAACUACGUGCCAGCAGCCGCGGUAAUACGUAGGUGGCAAGCGUUAUCCGGAUUUAUUGGGCGUAAAGGGAACGCAGGCGGUCUUUUAAGUCUGAUGUGAAAGCCUUCGGCUUAACCGGAGUAGUGCAUUGGAAACUGGGAGACUUGAGUGCAGAAGAGGAGAGUGGAACUCCAUGUGUAGCGGUGAAAUGCGUAGAUAUAUGGAAGAACACCAGUGGCGAAAGCGGCUCUCUGGUCUGUAACUGACGCUGAGGUUCGAAAGCGUGGGUAGGAAACAGGAUUAGAUACCCUGGUAGUCCACGCCG